rnacentral:lncRNA from 1 species
UUAAGGAGCAACUUUUUUUGUGGCUGCAUAGCCACGAGGACCACGGAGGAGAAUUGUUCCUACUGGUUUCAAGGAGAAAGGAAGUUAAAACUUCUAUUUCACAUGCCCUGCCCGCCCGGCCCCCAAAGCUCUGUACGUGGUUUUCUCCUGCUCUCCAGUGGUUUCUCCAGUGGAGACAGGCAAAUAACUAACUAAGAGUGAUUUUUCUGCUCUGCACAUGGACUCUGUGGUCUAGCCUAUUCUAGUGGGAGGGAGAAGUGGCAUUUUACAAGUGGGAAUGUCAGCCUAUCAGAUCUGAACCAUCUACUGUGUACGGGAGACUAAGUGGGGAGCAGGCAGUGAGACAGGGCCCGGGAUUAGAGUCUAGAGGAGUUCCCGGAACAGCAGGCAAAUACCAAGGGCAGAGGCCGGGGUGGGAUUUGCCGACUCAGGUCUGAGUGACCUGUUCAGCUGAGCGAUGGAAGGUGAGAGUGAUAGGAAUGGCAGGCUGAGAGGAGGCGUCCUGGAACAGGGAACAAUAGCAGACAUCGAGGAAGGUCACCACGUGUGGAGGAAACGUCAGUGCAAAACCUGGUAGGGUUGUUCUGGGCUCAGACCAUACGGUGCGCGUGUGCGUGGCACAGGGCAAGACAAAAGGAUCACGCAAAUGUAGAUGCUGGCAGGGGCCAGGUGGGUGGUACCUGUGGCCAACAGGAGGUGGAGGGGAGGGGCGGAGGGAAAAAAGGGGAGAGCCAGCCCUCGCCCUCCCAUUCGGAAAGCUCUGGGAAAUAGAUGCAGCCGUUAAGCCUGGGAGAGGACAAGCCCAAGGUAACUGGAACUGCCAAGUUCAGAUGCUCUCCAGGCGGGCAAGGGGCAUUGACAUGAACAUGAUGACUUUGAAAGCUCCAAGCAUCCAAAUGGACUAUUCUGUGCUGUGACAGGGAACUGAAUUUUGGAACAGAUUCCUGAGGAUCCCGUGGGGUUUUGCCCAUAUUUUUAUAAGCAGAAUUAUAUUCUUAGCUCACAAAGGUUUUGUGACAAGGGACAAUGUUGCUGGUUGAACUGUCUUGCUAUGACAGGGGCUCCAAAACCAGACAGACCUUGCAGGGAAGAACAGGGAACAAUGGAUGAAUGUUUGCCUCAGGGAUGGCUGAUGACAUGGUAACGGGGCGGCCCUCAGUACGAGGACAGUAAUUUGGUGGCUAGAAUUCUGGAAUUUGGUGGCGAACCCCAAGUGUUUCAAGGUAAGGACUCAAGGUGGGGGGAAAUGGGGGGGGAUUGCACAGAAAUCCAGGUCUUAGAGCUGGGGUAGGUGGCAGGACUCUAUACACAAAGAACUCAGGAAGGUGAGAGUAGCCUAGGGCAUGAGUCCGCAGAGGGGUAACAGGAGGUGGCUCAAUUUUCACUGACCCUCUGAGCUAGAAGCUCCAGGUUACUUGGUGUGGCCUGACCCACUGGUCU